UACGUAGGGUGCGAGCGUUGUCCGGAAUUAUUGGGCGUAAAGGGCUCGUAGGCGGUUUGUCGCGUCGGGAGUGAAAUCCACUGGCUUAACUGGUGGCUUGCUUUCGAUACGGGCAGACUGGAGGUAUGCAGGGGAGAACGGAAUUCCUGGUGUAGCGGUGAAAUGCGCAGAUAUCAGGAGGAACACCGGUGGCGAAGGCGGUUCUCUGGAACGGUACUGACGCUGAGACGCGAAAGCGUGGGGAGCGAACAGG
rnacentral:rRNA from 1 species